rnacentral:rRNA from 1 species
AUGAACCGGUCCCUGCAGGAGAGAGAAAGAAAGAGAGGAGGGAGAAAGCGAGAGGAAAGGGAGAGGGAGGUGCGACGGCGGGCGGGAGAGGGUCUCCGGCUGGUGCGAGACAUUCACGUCUCUCCUCCUCUCCUGCUCUCGACCACCACCGUGGCCCUCCUUCUCCCCUUCAAUUCCCUGUCUCCUCUUCUCUGGAGUUACCUGAGUGGUCAACACCGAGAAAGAUGGGGAAGACAGAGCCAGCGAGGAAGACGGCUUGACUCUGCCGCCGAUGCUGACCGGCCAAUUCCGUCGGGCGCCGUCAUGGGAGGAGGUGAACCAUCGAGGAGCAGCACGGGAGGAGAUAAAGAUAAGCCGCCGGUCUCCCGGUUCACUUCUGGUUGCAUCUUGCCCGUGAGCUCCUUCUUCUUACAGCCAGCUUGGCCCUUUUCUCGCCAUCUUUUGGGUAAUGCAGCGUAUCAAGCAGGCGAAGGCGAGGAUCAGAUGCGGUAG